GGCCAGUGCUGCGGCGUGGUGAGCUCGGAUGACUGGGAGGACAACAUCCCCUCCAGCUGUGACUGCCGGUCAGCGAGCCGAGGCGCGUAUCAACCCUUCACAGCUUAUGCAGCCGGGUGCAAAGCCAAGCCCCAGGGAGUCUCAGGCCCAGACCAAAUCUAUAAACAGACAUGCGGGGCUUCUUCUUCGGACUGGCUGUCACGGCUGUGAUGGGCCUGCUGGUCUCCCUCCUGAUGAUCCAUCAGGUCAGACGCCACGAAACCAGAGAAGCGUCCAUCGCGAUGAAGGGCUACUAAGAGACCCUUCAGCCAGUCCCCUCUGGCCCCGACCCCUGACCCCUCUCACCUCUGCACUGCACCAGGAGGACUCAGUGGUCCUCUGUUUCUAUUUCAAUGUAUUUUCAGGCUUUUAGGGGGGGGGGGGGUGUGCUUGCAGACAGAGAAUCUCCACAUUCCAGAGUUUUUUUUUUACUUCCAGCUUUUCAUAUUAGGCUUUAUAUUAGAGAAUGCGGCUUGAAUAGCGAAUAUAUUUUUGUUAUAUUUUUGUUGAG
ensembl:lncRNA